GAAGCCGGAAAUGGCCGCCCACGCCUCAGCCGGCGGGCGGGCGGGCGAGGCGAGCGAGGCGUCUCCUGAGCGCGUGCAGAGCGCCUCCCUGCCGGGGCGAGGGUGAAGGAAGCCACGCCUGGAAGAGAAAUCACAAGACACGAGAAAGAAAGAAAGAGAGAGAGAGACAGAGAGAGAGGUUGUUCCUCUUGGCCUUUCUGCAGGGGGCUGAAAAUCGCUGCCAGGGGUCUUGGCAAGGAGCUCCCGCCAGCCCCCCACCCGACCUUUGUGUGUGGAGAGAGAGCCCUCCUGCACUGCUCAGAAAAACGUUCCACCCUCUUGGGUCAGAUGCUGGUCUGGGCAGAAGCCUGUGGGGAGGAAUGGAGGAGUAAGGAGCUGCUUUGAACAUGAAGCCGCUGUUGAGACGCUUCUUUGGGAAGAGAAAUCCUCGGUGAAGGUGGUGGGAUGUGAAAUAUAUGUUCCAUGGCAGCCCCUGCCGCGCCUGAGCCAACGCCCAGCCCCUGGUGGAAUUGCUUUUUCCUCUACGACAGUUCGAAGGUGAAGGAGGAAGGAGACCCCACACAAGCCGGGAUUUGCUAUUUCAACCCC